rnacentral:rRNA from 1 species
GACGAACGCUGGCGGCGUGCUUAACACAUGCAAGUCGAACGGAAAGGCCCUUCGGGGUACUCGAGUGGCGAACGGGUGAGUAACACGUGGGUGAUCUGCCCUGCACUUUGGGAUAAGCCUGGGAAACUGGGUCUAAUACCGAAUAUGAUCAUCGGCUUCAUGGUCGGUGGUGGAAAGCUUUUGCGGUGUGGGAUGGGCCCGCGGCCUAUCAGCUUGUUGGUGGGGUAAUGGCCUACCAAGGCGACGACGGGUAGCCGGCCUGAGAGGGUGACCGGCCACACUGGGACUGAGAUACGGCCCAGACUCCUACGGGAGGCAGCAGUGGGGAAUAUUGCACAAUGGGCGCAAGCCUGAUGCAGCGACGCCGCGUGAGGGAUGACGGCCUUCGGGUUGUAAACCUCUUUCAGCACAGACGAAGCGCAAGUGACGGUAUGUGCAGAAGAAGGACCGGCCAACUACGUGCCAGCCGCCGCAGUAAAAC